CCCUUAGAUGUUCUGGGCCGCACGCGCGCUACACUGACGAAGUCAGCUAGCAUCUCCUUCGCCGAAAGGUGCGGGGAAUCUUGUGAAACUUUGUCGUGCUGGGGAUUGAUUUUUGAAAUUCUUGAUCAUCAACGAGGAAUUCCUAGUAAGCGCAAGUCAGCAGCUUGCGUUGAUUACGUCCCUGCCCUUUGUACACACCGCCCGUCGCUCCUACCGAUGGGUGAUCCGGUGAAUGAUUCGGACUUCAGCGGCUCCCCUGGGGUGCGCCGGAGAAAGUUUUGUGAACCUUAUCACUUGGAGGAAGGAGAAGUCGUAACA
rnacentral:rRNA from 1 species